UUUCUACUACAGAAAGCAAAAAAAAAGUAAGAGAAGAAGUCUGAGAAGUCAAAAGACUUGCAGAUUAUCUGACUAGGACACUCUGUGGAGGACUUUGAUACAAAUGGAUUGAUUUUUCAGUCUAGUGAUCUCUGUUCAGAAGGCCCUUGCAAGACACCAGUACCUUGAUAUUUGACUUCCAGUCUCCAGAACUUGGAACCUGAACAGUCUGCUGAAGCACCUGAUGUUUGGCCUUCCUGAAUGUCAUGUAAUACGUAUUCAUUUUUUCCAGCUGAAAAUAAAUAGAAUUGGAAAAAAAAGAAAUUAUGUAACGUGAGAGGAAAAAGCCUUUGAAGUGAACUCUUCUGGAAGUUUUAUGUUCAUUGCUAUCCUUUAGCUUUCCCAAAAUGCCCAUAAGCCAAAGAUUUCAUGUGUUAUUUCUGUAAUUUGGUAGUUUUCAUUUAA
ensembl:lncRNA LINC01853 long intergenic non-protein coding RNA 1853